GCGCAGAUCCAACGGUUUACAAGAAGAGCAGUGAAAUAGGAGACGUGUCAACGGGAGCGAGCAGAGAUGUGAGCGCGAGCGUGCAUGAUACACAGAGAGGCUGAAAGGUCGAAGAAAUUUUACUUAGACAUGCCCAAACUUCCCUGUCAAGAGUCUAAUUGAUGACUACUAGGCACUUUUCGGAAGCUAAGGGCACGGAAUCUGGUUGGGAAAGUCCCUGUUGCGUGUCUCUUGGGCCUCUGGUUGAACAAGGAACACUGCAAGACUGGCAGGGACACUACAGCUCUGCAUGAAGUGGCUGGGUUACACCCACCCUCCUUCCUUCCUCCCAGCAUGCAUUUGGCCUCUUCAUCAGCAACAAGGAUACAGGUCAGAUGUCCAUGCAUGACCUGACGUGUGGAUAGAGAGAGAUGGAUGCAAAGGGAGGAUGGGGAAAUGUGCAGAUUGGAGAUUGCGAAAAUGCAUUUCGAGUUUGUCGCGGGGUUCCGCCGGACGACCGCAAAGAGGCAGAAUCGGAGGGAAAUGCAUAACAGAUGCGAGAAGCAUCAGGAGAAGAGAGGGGAGCGGCUAGAUUUCAGGACCACCAAACAUGCGGUCUGAAUGCAGUGAUUUUAGUAUCCUGGAGUGCUGGACAUGUAUUAUUGAGCUCAGUGUUUUCUGUCUCUGUCUUUCCUGUGCUGGAGAACCCUGCAGUAAACACAAACAAAACCGCAUUUGCAUUGGCAGUCACCUACACCUGCACACACAGUUUUAUAAUUAACAGUAAAAUCUGUACCUUCCACUGAGGCAUACUGGCAGGAUUCAGACAGUCCUGAAUAGGAUGAAGAGUGUAUCUGAAGGUUCUUGUAGCUCCCAAUCGUGUAUGCUUUAUGUAUCCCCUG